rnacentral:rRNA from 1 species
UACAGAGGUCCCAAGCGUUGUUCGGAUUCAUUGGGCGUAAAGGGUGUGUAGGUGGCGCCGUAAGUCGGGUGUGAAAUCUCGGGGCUUAACUCCGAAACUGCAUUCGAUACUGCGGUGCUUGAGGACUGGAGAGGAGACUGGAAUUCAUGGUGUAGCAGUGAAAUGCGUAGAUAUCGUGAGGAAGACCAGUGGCGAAGGCGGGUCUCUGGACAGUUCCUGACGCUGAGGCGCGAAGGCCAGGGGAGCAAACGGG